CUACGGGCUGCAGCAGUGGGGAAUAUUGCACAAUGGGCGCAAGCCUGAUGCAGCCAUGCCGCGUGUAUGAAGAAGGCCUUCGGGUUGUAAAGUACUUUCAGCGGGGAGGAAGGGAGUAAAGUUAAUACCUUUGCUCAUUGACGUUACCCGCAGAAGAAGCACCGGCUAACUCCGUGCCAGCAGCCGCGGUAAUACGGAGGGUGCAAGCGUUAAUCGGAAUUACUGGGCGUAAAGCGCACGCAGGCGGUUUGUUAAGUCAGAUGUGAAAUUCCCGGGCUCAACCUGGGAACUGCAUCUGAUACUGGCAAGCUUGAGUCUCGUAGAGGGGGGUAGAAUUCCAGGUGUAGCGGUGAAAUGCGUAGAGAUCUGGAGGAAUACCGGUGGCGAAGGCGGCCCCCUGGACGAAGACUGACGCUCAGGUGCGAAAGCGUGGGGAGCAAACUGGAUUAGAUACCCCGGUAGUC
rnacentral:rRNA from 1 species